CCUACGGGUGGCAGCAGUGGGGAAUAUUGGGCAAUGGAGGAAACUCUGACCCAGCAACGCCGCGUGAAUGAUGAAGGUCUUCGGAUUGUAAAGUUCUUUUCUAAGGGAAGAAGAAAGUGACGGUACCUUAGGAAUAAGCCUCGGCUAACUACGUGCCAGCAGCCGCGGUAAUACGUAGGAGGCAAGCGUUAUCCGGAAUGACUGGGCGUAAAGGGUGCGUAGGUGGUUUAGUAAGGUGGCGGUGUAAUUCCGGGGCUCAACCUCGGCGCUACCGCCAAAACUAUUAGACUAGAGUGCGGGAGGGGUAAGUGGAAUUCCUAGUGUAGCGGUGGAAUGCGUAGAUAUUAGGCGGAACAUCAGGGGCGAAGGCGACUUACUGGACUGUAACUGACACUGAGGCACGAAAGCGUGGGGAGCAAACAGGAUUAGAUACCCUUGUAGUC
rnacentral:rRNA from 1 species